rnacentral:tRNA from 1 species
CGCGUAGCUCAGCGGGAGAGCACUGCCUUCACACGGCAGGGGUCGCUGGUUCAAUCCCAGCCGCGC